rnacentral:rRNA from 1 species
AACGAACGCUGGCGGCGUGGAUAAGACAUGCAAGUCGAGCGGGAACUUUUUUUGGUAGCAAUACCGAAAAAGUUCUAGCGGCGAACGGGUGCGUAACACGUGGACAAUCUGCCUUAAAGUGGGGGAUAGCUCGGCGAAAGCCGAAUUAAUACCGCAUGUGAUGAGAGACGACAUCGUCUUGAAAUCAAAGCCGGGGCAACCUGGCGCUUUUUGAGGAGUCCGCGGCCUAUCAGCUGUUGGUGAGGUAACGGCUCACCAAGCUAUGACGGGUAGCUGGUCUGAGAGGACGACCAGUCACACUGGAACUGAGACACGGUCCA